UGGGUUCUGGGGACAGAUUCUCAAGGAAUUGGCGGGGGGGCGCACAAGCGGUGGAGCAUGUGGUUUAAUUCGAUGAUACGCGAGGAACCUUACCAGGGCUUAAGUGUAGAUUGACAGAUUUGGAAACAGAUUUUCCUUCGGACAAUUUACAAGGUGCUGCAUGGUUGUCGUCAGCUCGUGCCGUGAGGUGUCAGGUUAAGUCCUAUAACGAGCGCAACCCCUGUUGUUAGUUGCCAGCACGUAAUGGUGGGAACUCUAGCAAGACUGCCGGUGUAAACCGUGAGGAAGGUGGGGAUGACGUCAAAUCAUCACGGCCCUUACGUCCUGGGCCACACACGUGCUACAAUGGCCGGUACAGAGAGCAGCUACUUAGCGAUAAGGAGCGAAUCUAUAAAGCCGGUCACAGUUCGGAUUGGAGUCUGCAACUCGACUCUAUGAAGCUGGAAUCGCUAGUAAUCGGAUAUCAGCCAUGAUCCGGUGAAUACGUUCCCGGCCCUUGUACACACCGCCCGAAUCU
rnacentral:rRNA from 1 species